UACGUAGGUGGCAAGCGUUGUCCGGAUUUAUUGGGUUUAAAGGGUGCGUAGGCGGCCCUGUAAGUCAGUGCUGAAAUAUCCCGGCUUAACCGGGAGGGUGGCAUUGAUACUGCAGGGCUUGAGUGAAGUCGAGGUAGGCGGAAUUGACGGUGUAGCGGUGAAAUGCUUAGAUAUCGUCAAGAACACCGAUAGUGAAGACAGCUUACUAGGCUUAUACUGACGCUGAGGCACGAAAGUGUGGGGAUCAAAC
rnacentral:rRNA from 1 species